rnacentral:other from 1 species
GAAACCCUGCUGUGCACGUGCGGCUUCAUAUUUUGAACCGAUACUUUUUUGAAAGGGAGUCCAGGGUUGACUGACGUAGUCCAUGCCCCUUCGUGGGGACUGAUGAAAUCUUUCACGAGGACACCCACCUGCACAUACGCAGACUCAAAAUCCGGCUUUAACGACAUGGUGGGGCAAUU